rnacentral:rRNA from 1 species
GACGAACGCUGGCGGCGUGCUUAACACAUGCAAGUCGAACGGAAAGGCCCUGCUUUUGUGGGGUGCUCGAGUGGCGAACGGGUGAGUAACACGUGAGUAACCUGCCCUUGACUUUGGGAUAACUUCAGGAAACUGGGGCUAAUACCGGAUAGGAGCUCCUGCUGCAUGGUGGGGGUUGGAAAGUUUCGGCGGUUGGGGAUGUACUCGCGGCUUAUCAGCUUGUUGGUGGGGUAGUGGCUUACCAAGGCUUUGACGGGUAGCCGGCCUGAGCGGGUGACCGGCCACAUUGGGACGGGGCUACGGCCCAGACUCCUACGGGAGGCAGCAGUGGAGAAUAUUGCACAAUGGGCGGAAGCCUGAUGCAGCAACGCCGCGUGCGGGAUGACGGCCUUCGGGUUGUAAACCGCUUUCGCCUGUGACGAAGCGUGAGUGACGGUAAUGGGUAAAGAAGCACCGGCUAACUACGUG